CUUAGAUCCACUGUCAAAUAAUGCUUUACAGUCAACUUAUGGAAACACCUAUAAUAGUCAGCAACCUCAGGUCAACACUUACUGUGAAAUUUAAGGGAAGAGAAUGGGGGGAGGGAUUUUAAAAAUUAAAAUCAAAUCAGUGUGUUGGGGGAGUAUAUUUUAUCUUUGACAAUUUCAUGAGCAAUGGUUUUCUAUUUAUAUUUUUUUCAACAGAACUAGCCAAGGGAAAAAAACAGGAAAAGAAAGAAAAACACAUGGAACCAGGUAAGUGUUUUUAAAUUCCUCCAUCCUCUUAAUUUUGAGAUAUUAAUUUGCAAUUGAAUACUGAAAUGCCAUCAAAUAGCAUGGAAUGUUAAUUUUGUUUUUCUUUUCUUAUUUGAUUCAGCAAAGUCACCAAAGAAGGAACAGUCAGCUCCAACUGAAAAACACAUUAAAGCAAAGACUGAACAAACCAAAGAAGAGGUUGGUUCUGCCUCAUCGAAAAAAGCUGUACCUGGAAAGAAGGAAGAGAAAACAACCAAGACAGUGGAGCAAGAAAUUAGAAAAGAAAAAUCUGGGAAGACUUCUUCAGUUCUGAAGGAUAAAGAGCCUAUUAAGGAAAAAGAAGUAAAGGUUCCAGCUUCCCUAAAGGAAAAAGAACCUGAAAUUAAAAAAGAUGAAAAGAUGUCCAAAGCAGGCAAAGAAGUCAAGCCCAAGUCUCCACAGCCACAAGUGAAAAAACAAGAGAAGCCAGAGUCACAAGUUAAAAAGGAAGCAAAACCAGCUUCAUCUGAAAAAGCUCAAAUACACAAACAAGACACAGUGAAACCAGAAAAGGCUGUUUCUCAUGGUAAACCAGAAAAAGCUGAACAUCAAGGAAAAGAAUCUCCAUCUAUAAAAACAGGUGAUUUUGCCUUUUUGGUUUGCAUUCUGUCUCAAUUCACUGUUUCUUUACCUUUGAAAAUAAAACCAA
rnacentral:lncRNA from 1 species